rnacentral:rRNA from 1 species
CGCUGGCGGCGUGCCUAACACAUGCAAGUCGAGCGGGGACUUGGGAGCUUGCUCCCGGGUUCUAGUGGCGGACGGGUGAGUAACGCGUGAGGAACCUGCCUUUCAGAGGGGGAUAACGUUUGGAAACGAACGCUAAUACCGCAUAACACAAUCGAGUGGCAUCGCUUGAUUGUCAAAGGAGCAAUCCGCUGAAAGAUGGGCUCGCGUCUGAUUAGAUAGUUGGUGGGGUAACGGCCUACCAAGUCGACGAUCAGUAGCCGGACUGAGAGGUUGAACGGCCACAUUGGGACUGAGACACGGCCCAGACUCCUACGGGAGGCAGCAGUGGGGAAUAUUGCACAAUGGGGGAAACCCUGAUGCAGCAACGCCGCGUGAAGGAUGAAGGUUUUCGGAUCGUAAACUUCUAUCAACAGGGAAGAAACAAAUGACGGUACCUGAAUAAGAAGCCCCGGCUAACUACGUG